rnacentral:rRNA from 1 species
AUACGGAGGAUCCGAGCGUUAUCCGGAUUUAUUGGGUUUAAAGGGAGCGUAGGCGGACGCUUAAGUCAGUUGUGAAAGUUUGCGGCUCAAUCGUAAAAUUGCAGUUGAUACUGGGUGUCUUGAGUACAGUAGAGGCAGGCGGAAUUUGGGGUGUAGGGGGGAAAUGCUUAGAUAUCACGAAGAACUCCGAUUGCGAAGGCAGCCUGCUGGACUGUAACUGACGCUGAUGCUCGAAAGUGUGGGUAUCAAACAGGAUUAGAUACCCUGGUAGUCCACACAGUAAACGAUGAAUACUCGCUGUUUGCGAUAUACAGUAAGCGGCCAAGCGAAAGCGUUAAGUAAUCCACCUGGGGAGUACGCCGGCAACGGUGAAACUUAAAUGAAUUGGCGGGG